rnacentral:rRNA from 1 species
AACGAACGCUGGCGGCAUGCCUAACACAUGCAAGUCGAACGAGACCUUCGGGUCUAGUGGCGCAUGGGUGCGUAACGCGUGGGAACCUGCCCUUAGGUUCGGAAUAACUCCCCGACAGGGGUGCUAACACCGGAUAAUGUCUUCGGACCAAAGAUUUAUCGCCUUUGGAUGGGCCCGCGUUGGAUUAGCUUGUUGGUAGGGUAAAAGCCUACCAAGGCGACGAUCCAUAGCUGGUUUGAGAGGAUGGUCAGCCACACUGGGACUGGGAAACGGCGCAGACUCCUACGGGAGGCAGCAGUGGGGGAUAUUGGACAAUGGGGUAAAGCAUGAUCCAGCAAUGCCGCGUGAGUGAUGAAGGCCUUAGGGUUGUAAAGCUCUUUUACCCGGGAUGAUAAUGACGGUACCGGAAGAAUAAGCUCCGGCUAACUCCAUG